UACGGGGGGAGCAAGCGUUGUUCGGAUUUACUGGGCGUAAAGGGCGCGUAGGCGGCCACUGCAAGUCAGUUGUGAAAUCUCCGGGCUUAACCCGGAAAGGUCAACUGAUACUGCAGGGCUAGAGUGCAGAAGGGGCAACUGGAAUUCUCGGUGUAGCGGUGAAAUGCGUAGAUAUCGAGAGGAACACCUGCGGCGAAGGCGGGUUGCUGGGCUGACACUGACGCUGAUGUGCGAAAGCUAGGGGAGCGAACGGG
rnacentral:rRNA from 1 species